GUAUUCAUUUUAUGUUUUGUAUAACAUUUUUGUUAUAUAGAAUUUAUAAAGAUAUGAAGUUUCCUAUAAUUAUUAUUAGGUACUUUGAAAACUAUAGCUUUUUAUAUUAUAGAAAUGUUUGAGUUUUUAUAUAUAACUAGUAGAAAAGUAUUCGAAUGAAACCUAGUUUCUCCUUAUGCUGAUUUAUACUUGUUGUUGUAUAGAAAUUAGUUUUUAUAAUAUAUAAGAGUUCAUAAACCAUAUAAAGUAUUUUAUCGUAGAUAAUUUACUUUGAA
rnacentral:misc_RNA from 1 species